rnacentral:misc_RNA from 1 species
GAUGAGAACGCAGCGAAAUGCGAUAAGUAGUGUGAAUUGCAGAAUUCAGUGAAUCAUCGAAUCUUUGAACGCACAUUGCGCCCUUUGGUAUUCCUUAGGGCAUGCCUGUUCGAGCGUCAUUUAAACCUUCAAGCUCAGCUUGGUGUUGGGUGACUGUCCGCUUCACCGCGGACUCGCCUCAAAAUUAUUGGCGGCCGGUACAUUGGCUCUCGAGCGCAGCAGAAACGCGUAACUCGAGGUCCUCGUGCUGGCUCCCAGAAGCUAUCUUCACAAUUUUGACCUCGGAUCAGGUAGGGAUACCCGCUGAACUUAAGCAUAUCAAUAAGCGGAGGA